rnacentral:rRNA from 1 species
GCACUGCCCGGUAGCUAAAUGCGGAAGAGAUAAGUGCUGAAAGCAUCUAAGCACGAAACUUGCCCCGAGAUGAGUUCUCCCUGAGACUUAGAGUCUCCUGAAGGAACGUUGAAGACGACGACGUUGAUAGGCCGGGUGUGUAAGCGCAGCGAUGCGUUGAGCUAACCGGUACUAAUGAACCGUGAGGCUUAACCUUAC